ACACGUGGAGGUGAAACCCCGGCCUUCACCUGCCCGGUGUGCCAGGAGGGAGCGGGUGCCUGCUCAGGUAUAUAAUGAUGGUGGUUUUAUUCUGUCAAAAUGCUUGAGCAUGUAAUUUAUGUUGGCAUGAUAUUAAAUACAUCUCAUGUUUCUGUCCAGGACCAUGAGGGGGUGACACCAAGGUCACCUACCAAGGACGUGGGGAUGGACAAGCCCAUGGACCAGGACCAGCAGCAGCAUGGGCGGCCUGCUCUCCCAGGUAAGAAGAUCAGCAAAGGUUUUUUGUUUUUUUUUUAAUUUUAUUGAACAAUUGAACAUGACAGAACAUAGCUUAAGCGGUCAACUAACAAAAUUACAAAAUCAGAUGGUGUUUACAGCCAGCAAACCAAAAGAAAUAAAAGAAAAACAACAAA